rnacentral:rRNA from 1 species
GAUGAACGCUGGCGGCGUGCCUAAUACAUGCAAGUCGAGCGAACAGCCGCGGAGUUCGCUCCUUUGACGUAAGCGGCGGACGAGUGAGUAAGACGCAGGUAACUUACCUAUAUGACAGGGAUAAAUUCGGGAAACCGGAGCCAAUUCCUGCCAAAAUUUCGAAGCGCUCGCUUGAUUAGUGAAAGAAGGGUUUGCCAUGCUUUAUCGAUGGACCUGAGCCGCGUUAGCUAGUUGGUAAGGUAAGGGCUUACCAAGGCAAGGAUGCGUAGCCGACCUGAGAGGGUGAUCGGCCACACUGGAACUGAGACACGGUCCAGACUCCUACGGGAGGCAGCAGUAGGGAAUCUUCCGCAAUGGGCGAAAGCCUGACGGAGCAACGCCGCGUGAGUGAUGAAGGUCUUCGGAUCGUAAAGCUCUGUUAUUAGGGAAGAACAAAGGUGUGAGUAACUGUGAACGGCGUGACGGUACCUAAUCAGAAAGCCACGGCUAACUACGUG